CUUCGGGAACCGUGAGACAGGUGCUGCAUGGCUGUCGUCAGCUCGUGUUGUGAAAUGUUGGGUUAAGUCCCGCAACGAGCGCAACCCUUAUCCUUUGUUGCCAGCGGUCCGGCCGGGAACUCAAAGGAGACUGCCAGUGAUAAACUGGAGGAAGGUGGGGAUGACGUCAAGUCAUCAUGGCCCUUACGACCAGGGCUACACACGUGCUACAAUGGCGCAUACAAAGAGAAGCGACCUCGCGAGAGCAAGCGGACCUCAUAAAGUGCGUCGUAGUCCGGAUUGGAGUCUGCAACUCGACUCCAUGAAGUCGGAAUCGCUAGUAAUCGUGGAUCAGAAUGCCACGGUGAAUACGUUCCCGGGCCUUGUACACACCGCCCGUCACACCAUGGGAGUGGGUUGCAAAAGAAGUAGGUAGCUUAACCUUCGGGAGGGCGCUUACCACUUUGUGAUUCAUGACUGGGGUGAAGUCGUAACAAGGUAACCGUAGGGGAACCUGCGGUUGGAUCAC
rnacentral:rRNA from 1 species